rnacentral:sRNA from 1 species
CCCCGCCCCGCCCCGCCGCCCACCUCUCUCUGCCCAAAGGCAGGUGUCCUGUUCGUCAGCAGUGUAUAGAGCAGGGGCUGGUGGGUAGCAGGAACCCAGUACAUCCAUGCUUGAUCGAGUGAAUGAAUGAAUCAAUGAAUGGCCCCCAGAAGUUACAGGAGUACCAUUCACUGCGUCAUCUCCAAACGCUUCCCUGGCCACUGCUUGAGACCCAAAACCUUACCACUCCUCAUUUUCCUCUGUGCAGUGGUUUGGGCACCAAGUUAAAAGUCAAGCCUCCCCCGCCACACACACAAAGGUCUUAAACUCAAUGGUGAUCGAACUGUUUACUGUUUCAGUUGCGGUUCUAAGGGGUGUGUCUUUGCCACCCUGCCAACUCCUCGCAGCCUCCAGUCUGAGAAAGAAAAUUAGAAAUUACACAGUCCCAUUUGGGGAGCUUAUUGGACUGUAUCUCAAGGGCAAGUGUGGCUGAUUGUAUAAGCCAAUAAUAAAAUUGGUUUGCGGUCCCACUGCGCCCUGUGGCACAAGACGAGUGACGACUAGCGUCGUCACCUACUCCAUGCCAGCCAUGGAGCAAUACUGUACAGGCAUUGCCUCACUGACUCCACGCUGCCCCAGCACACGAUAGGAAUUAUUGUCUCUGUUUUAUAGAUGGGAGAAAGGAAAAGGCAUGCUCCAUGGCUGGGGCACCCAACUGGGACUUCAUCCAGGAGAGCCCGACGCCAAAUUCGUUUUCUUGUAUUUAUCUUGCUCUCUGCUGAGAGAAUGACCAAGGGUGACAUGGCAGGGGGUAGAGCUGCAAGAGCUGACUACAGAAUAUACUUCACAAAAAACGCUGUGGGAUUGAGAAACGAACCCUUGUGUGCCGGGGUCACACACAUUUGAUUGACAGCCUAACUGUCCCAUAAGCGGGCAAAUACUAUCUCUGGGCUCUCCCAUUUCAUUUUUCACUCCUCCUUCCAGCUGUUACUGUGUUCUUUCCUUUCAAAGAAAAAAGUGUCUCCUAAGUAUACAGUCUUCAAAGAACGCCCGUGUCCCACUUUCUAACUUUGGAAGCCAGCCCUCGGUAUUGUUUGGCAAGGUAUGAGAUCCAGGCUACCAAGCAGGCACGUCCCAGUCAUAGGGAAGAAAACCCUGUUGCUUUGCAUGGGAGGACAGGAGCUGAGCCUCAAGGUGUCCUGCUCACCUGACAACCACUUGCCCUCAAGGUACCACCCACCUGCAGAAAUUCCCUUUGAUGACCAGUCUUGUCAACCUGACACAGUCACCUAAGGCAUAAUCCUCUAUGUGGCCCUGGAGAGAUUGAUUAAAUUAGGGUAAUCAAUUUGGAAAAGAUGCGCCUUAACUCACCUUAAACGUGGACCAUUAAGGAGAAGGCUAGAGGAGCAGGGUUCAUCUCUCUCUGCUUCCUGAUGCUGAUGCUGCGACAGACUGUCUCGAGCUUCUACAGCCGUGCAGCCCCUACCAUGAUGGACCGUACCCUCAAAGUUCGAACCCAAAUAAAUCUCUCCCACCUUAAAUUGACUUGCCAGACAGGUUGUCACAGCAACAAAACCAAAAACCUGAAACAUUCCCUGACCAAUGUUUCAAGCCCAAAUGUACUGUUACAUCCUUAAUCACUGUGCUGGGGGCAGAGAGCUUUGGGCAAGGAGCUAGCAGGGACAAUCUAACAUCAGCCUUCACCGGCGACAUCCUGUUAUUUAAUUCCUAAUGCAUGGGAUUGUCUGUGGACAGUUGAAACCAGGUAACUGAUCGGUAAAUGGAGAGAAGAAAAGGAGGAGUCAGAAAGGCCAGCAGGGCUGCUUUCUCCUGCCACGGGUCCCCAGAGCAUGCUCUGGCUGAAGCAACACCAUUCUAGCUGUCCUUCACUGGUCAACUUGGCUCCAGGUCACAGCUGUCUACAGAGGUCUCUGAGGGAUUUGAAUGGUGGAAGCAAAGUAGCAACUUUUGUGCUGGUGAAGCUGUGUCCCCCACUCAUGGGAAUACCAGAGCAUCCUUCUAGGGGAACCAGGGCUCCUCCUGCUCCUUUUCCUUCUGUCUCCUUCAGCGACUGAGGCCUGCGUGAAAGCCCGCUUUACAGAAAGAUUCCAGCUUUGUUUCAGAGUCUGAAGUCCGAAGUGGUGAGGACAGAUAGAGAUCCAGUCAUCUCUGUGACUCUGUCCAUUUGACCAUGAUUUCUCCCACAUCUUACCGGCUUCCCCCCCACACACACACACUCUUCUGGUCCUGAUGAUCUACAUCAACUUCAGACUCAUCAGAGUGCAGCUCUCUGUUGGUUCUGCCCCAGCCCCACAGUUGGACAGACAAGAUCCAAGCUCUGUUAUCAACCUCUGGCUCCAUGUUAUACAGUGUGAAACUGCUUCCCCCAUCAAACCUUAAAUGAUAUGUCAGGGAAAUGUGUCCCUUUUUGCCAGGCACUUAUGGUAUCAUCCUUUUAUAACAUCUAAGAUUAAAGAGGAGGCCACGCCUGAGUGAACACAUUUCCCAAAGCUUUUAUACAAAAUGGUCACUAAUCAGAGGGUUCAAACAACAGCAACGUGUUUCUUCCUUCUUUGGUGACUACAAGUUCAAAACCAGGGAGGGUCAUGUGUCCUUCUGGGGCUCUAGGGAGAACCCAUUCUUCUCUUCUAGCUUCUGGUGGCUGGCACUAUUCUUGGCUUGUGGCCACAUGACUCUGGUUACAUGACUCUAUGGUCACAUUGCCUUAACUGCCAAACCUCCUUCUGCUGUACUCUAAUAAAGUCACUGCUAUUGGACUUAAAGGUUAUCGGAUAAUCCAAGUCGAUUUCUUUAUCUGAUGACCCUUAAAGCAGCUACAUCUGCAAAGACCCCUUUUCCAAAUGCAUUGAUGUCUGCCUUUCAGUGGAUACUGGCUUCCAUUCGGGCAUUCAGCUACCGCCUACCCUCAUGUAAGCUAGUGGCUUCACCCAAACUCCUCUGAAACUCACAGCUAACACCUAGCUCUGUAAGCCUUAGAAAACUCACUAAGGCUGUUUCUUUACUUCACUUAUGAAACUUACGCCUAUACAUUAAGACUUAAUUGCAUGGCCAGUGGGGUGGGGAUAGUCACCCAUGCUUGGUUCUACUUAUGUAAUCAUCCUUUCAAUUAGUAUAACUUUAUUGAAUGGUUACUGAACAGCAAUUCUUAGUGAUCAUUUCCCCCUGACUUGUCAAAUGAUGCUUGGUGCACUUCCCAACCACUCCACUUCUGGAUGCAUCUUUUGAUGGAAGGAAGUGUUAGUAGAGUGAAAGGUGUCACUUCCGGCAAGAUUACUUUUUAAAUGUUUUUUAUAUUGUCUAAUCUUUUAAGAGUUCUUUUUCAUUUAACACACAUGGGUGUCUCGCCUGUUUAUAUGUCUGUGCACCACAUGCAUGCACUACCCCUGAGGACCAGAAGGGACCAAUGGAUCCCCCAGAACUGGAACUGCAGAUGGUUGUUAGCUGCUGAGAGGUGCUGGGAAUUGAACCCAGGUCCUCUAGAAGAGCAGCCAGUGUUCUUAACCACUGAGCCAUCUCUCCAGCCCCAAGGUUACUUUCGUUUAAAUGCAAUUCUAUUGUCUCUACUUCUGUCAUGAAAUUCAAAUGGUGUAGCUACAAAACAGAGAAGCAGCCGUCAGCCUGGAACCCUGUGUGACUUUGCGAAGCAUGCACUAGCUGGUUCUGGAUGUAGAGGAUAAUCAUAGGAUGCAGGCGCUCCAGGGGGAAUGGGAAAGAGACCGGGUGCUUUAUCUGGGGACAGGAAGGUAAUACAAAAGGAGGAUAAAUAACAGACAUGAAGAGCGUUU